rnacentral:rRNA from 1 species
AGCCGAGUGAUACUAAUUACCCGUAAGCUUAGAUAUUCUAACACCUAUUUUUUUACUAGUUUAUAUUUUCAAUAUGUCAAAUCAUACAGUUGAUUUUCAACUGCAACCAUUAAGGUGGUUAUAGCGAUGGGGCUCACCUCUUACCUUUCCGAACAGAGAAGUUAAGCCCAUUUGCGCAGAUGGUACUGCUAUUUGUGGGAGAGUAUGUCGCCGCCUUCU